GACGAACGCUGGCGGCGUGCUUAACACAUGCAAGUCGAGCGGAAAGGCUUCCUUCGGGAAGUACUCGAGCGGCGAACGGGUGAGUAACACGUGGAUAACCAACCUCUUGCACUGGAAUACCCCGGGGAAACUCGGAUCAAUGCCAGAUAAAGUGCGGUGCUGCAGGGUGCCGUACCAAAGAUAGCUUCGGCCUUCGGCGAGAGACGGGUCCGCGGCCCAUUAGCUAGUUGGCGGGGUAAUGGCCCACCAAGGCUACGAUGGGUAGCUGGU
rnacentral:rRNA from 1 species